CCAAAGCUGAUUCAGCUGAUUUGGUUCUGUGUCCCUGCUAAAGUGGCAUACUUGGUUAAGAGGAUGUGACCUUCCUAAUAAACAAAGGUCUUCAGCCAAGGGACUAAGAGUAGCUUCAGUCCCCUACCAGAACUUCUAAGCAUGCUCUCAAGCAGUCACAGAUUUGGUCAGAGGAAGCCAUUUUAAACUGGCUUCUAUGUCAUUUUGGUGUCUCCAU
rnacentral:snRNA from 1 species